rnacentral:lncRNA from 1 species
GGAUCUACUUACCAACGCAGAAAAUGAUACACACGGAUUCGAUUUAGGCACGCUACAUUCAAAUGACUUGGAAGAGCAGGUUCUCUGAGCCAGGAUACUAAAGUCCCUGUUUAGGAAAGAGCCACGUUGUAUGUUUACCCUACCACAAAGAUACAGUCAUGUGCCUGGGAAAGAUUGAUGCCAGCUCCAGAAAGGCAUCCGAAUGGUCUAAGUAAUGCCAUCCAUCUGUCAGUAAUAGAUUCAGAAAUGGAGAUCCACAGGAAUCCAGCCUUUUGCUCCUUGAAUGGGAUAAGGAAGCACAUAAUCCCAGUUGCUCUUCCAGUCAUCCCAGACCCACAGCCCUGCUUUAGCCAUCCUAUAGCCAUCAUAUAUUCACAAGGGGAGAGCAACUGAGGACAACACUGUGGAUCCUUGUGACAUAACCAAGCCAGUGAACCAAUCAAUACAUUUAUUUAUUGUUUGAGCCAUUGUAGUUGAGCUUACGUUACUGGCAGCUGAAAGCUGAAAGUUAUUCUAUCUGCCAAUCCUCAUCUUGCACGUCUCUUAGUUUUGCUCUUAUCUCUCCUUUUCCUCUUUUUCACACAUAAAUCCCAAUCUUUGUUCCAACUCACACUGUCAACACUCUGACCUUUCCCUCUUGCUUUCUUUUCCUCUUCUCUCUGUCCCUCUCCCUUUUGCCUUUCUUUCUGCCAGUGCUACCCACAGGUAUAUCUUAAAUCUUAUUAGCCAUAGCCAUGACCAAAGACUAGGACCACCACUAGGUAUAACUGGAUUAGGUGGAGUUUUGCUCAUUUGCCCUCCUUUGUACUUUCGACAUCAACAUCCCUCACCCCUCAGCAAUUCUCUCCACUGUGCCCCACUCCAUAUAACAAAAAGUCUUGUGUGCUCUGAAACAUCCACCCAAAAACUAUAUUUUCACUAAAAUUCCUUUGGUGAUAAUGCCUUAACAUGGUGGUUUCCAAAGCUUUUUAAAACCAUAACCCACAUUAAGUAUCCUCACUCAGUAUACACAGAAUAUACACAUAGGCACUUGAUAUAGUCUGGAUAUUUGUCCCUGCCCAACUCUUAUGUUGAAUUGUAAUCCCCAGUGCUAGAGGUGGGGCUUGGUGGGAGGGUGUUUGGAUCCCUCAUGGCUUGGUGCUGUCUUCACAAUAGUGAGUUCUCUAGACAUCUGGUCAUUUGAAAGUGUGUGGCACCUUCCCCCUCUCCUUGCUUCUGCUCUGACUAUGUGACAUGCCUGCUUUCCUGCUUUCCUUUUGCCUUCUGCCAUGAUCAUAAGCUUCCUGAGGACUUCCCAGAAGUCAAGCUGAUGCUAGCAUCAUUGCUUCCUGCAAAGCCUGCAGAGCUGUGAACCUCUUUUCUUUAUGAAUUAUCCAGUCUCAGGUAUUUCUUUAUAAUGUGAAAGGAAAAUAAACCUUGGGGCCCCCAAAUCACUAAGCUAAAUGGAAAAGUCAAGCUGGGAACUGCUUAGAGCAAACCUGCCUCCCAUUCUAUUCAAAGUCAUCCCUCUGCUCACUGAGAUAGAUGUAUAUCUGAUUGCCUCCUUUGGAAAGGCUAAUCAGAAACUCAAAAGAAUGAAACCAUUCAUUUGUCUCUCGCCUAUCUGUGACCUGGAAGCCCCCUCUCUGCUUCGGCUUCAAGGCUUCCUGCCUUUGCUUCAAGUUGUCGCGCCUUUCCAGACCCAACCAAUGUACUUCUUACAUAUACUGAUUGAUGCUUCAUGUCUCCCUAAAAUGUAUAAAACUCAGCUGUGCCCCAGCCACCUUGGCCACAUGUCAUCAGGACUCCCUGAGGCUGUGCCGCAGGCUCAUCUUCAACCUUGGCAAAAUAAACUUUCUAAAUUAAC